AGCAUAUCAAUAAGCGGAGGAAAAGAAACCAACAGGGAUUGCCCCAGUAACGGCGAGUGAAGCGGCAACAGCUCAAAUUUGAAAUCUGGCCCCUAGGGUCCGAGUUGUAAUUUGUAGAGGAUGCUUUUGGUGAGGUGCCGCCCGAGUUCCCUGGAACGGGACGCCGCAGAGGGUGAGAGCCCCGUCUGGCUGGCCACCGAGCCUCUGUAAAGCUCCUUCAACGAGUCGAGUAGUUUGGGAAUGCUGCUCAAAAUGGGAGGUAUAUGUCUUCUAAAGCUAAAUAUUGGCCAGAGACCGAUAGCGCACAAGUAGAGUGAUCGAAAGAUGAAAAGCACCUUGAAAAGAGGGUUAAACAGUACGUGAAAUUGUUGAAAGGGAAGCGCUUGUGACCAGACUUGGGCGCGGCGGAUCAUCCGGGGUUCUCCCCGGUGCACUUCGCCGCGUUCAGGCCAGCAUCAGUUCGGCGCGGGGGAAAAAGGCUUCGGGAACGUGGCUCCUCCGGGAGUGUUAUAGCCCGUUGCAUAAUACCCUGUGCUGGACUGAGGACCGCGCAUCUGCAAGGAUGCUGGCGUAAUGGUCACCAGCGACCCGUC
rnacentral:rRNA from 1 species